GCUUAUCUUGCGCAGCUUAGGUGGGAGGCUAUGAACCUUUUCUUCUGGGAAGAGGGGAGCCAUCAGUGAGAUACCACUCUUGGUAAGCUAGAGCGCUCAGUCUUCACCGUCAUCCGGUAAGACGACAGUUUCAGGCGGGCAGUUUGACUGGGGCAGUCACCUCCCAAAAGGUAAUGGAGGUGUGCAAAGGUUCCCUCAGGCUGGACGGAAAUCAGCCAUAGAGUGUAAAAGCAUAAGGGAGCUUGACUGCGAGACUGACAUGUCAAGCAGAGACGAAAGUCGGCUUUAGUGAUCCGACGGUGCUGUGUGGAAAGGCCGUCGCUCAACGGAUAAAAGUUACUCUAGGGAUA
rnacentral:rRNA from 1 species